CUGAAGCGUUGACCCACCUUCAACUACUACAGGGAUGUUCAGGGAAAUUGCAGUAGUUCUGUUGAUUGGGUUGCUGGCAUGGGCGUAUCAGGCUGCCUACCCGCCGCCUCCCAAGCUUUGUGGUAGCCUAGGUGGGCCUCCCAUCACUGCACCUAGAAUAAAACUGAGGGAUGGAAGACAUUUGGCUUACAAGGAGCACGGUGUAUCAAGAGAAACUGCCAAUUACAAGAUCAUAUAUGUUCAUGGCUUUUCCACCACCAAAGAUAAUUUUGG
rnacentral:misc_RNA from 1 species